rnacentral:SRP_RNA from 1 species
GCUGGGCAUGGUGGCACGUGCCUGAAGUCUCAGCUAUUGAGGAGGCUGAGGCAGUCAGGUUCCUUGAGCCCAGGAGUUCUGGGCUGUAAUGCGCUAUGCCAAUUGGGGAUCCACGCUAAAUACGGCAUUAAUAUGUAUGGUGACCUCCUGGGAGCAGGGGCCGCCAGCUUGCUUAAGGAGGGGUGAACCGGCCCAGGUUGGAAACGGAGCAGGUCAAAACUCUGGUGCUGUCAGUAGUGGGAUUGCGCCUGUGAAAAGCCACUGCACUCCACCCUGGGCAACAUAGCAAGAACCCAUCUCU